rnacentral:rRNA from 1 species
UGGGGAAUUUUGCGCAAUGGGGGAAACCCUGACGCAGCAACGCCGCGUGGAGGAUGAAAUCCCUUGGGAUGUAAACUCCUUUCGAUCGGGACGAUUAUGACGGUACCGGAAGAAGAAGCCCCGGCUAACUUCGUGCCAGCAGCCGCGGUAAUACGAGGGGGGCAAGCGUUGUUUGGAAUUAUUGGGCGUAAAGGGCGCGUAGGCGGUUUGACAAGUCUGAUGUGAAAUCUAUGGGCUCAACCCAUAGCCUGCAUUAGAAACUGUCGGGCUUGAGUAUGGGAGAGGUGAGUGGAAUUUCCGGUGUAGCGGUGAAAUGCGUAGAUAUCGGAAGGAACACCUGUGGCGAAAGCGGCUCACUGGACCAUAACUGACGCUGAGGCGCGAAAGCUAGGGGAGCAAACAGGAUUAGAUACCCUGGUAGUCCUAGCCCUAAACGAUGAUUGCUUGGUGUGACAGGUACCCAAUCCUGUCGUGCCGAAGCUAACGCGAUAAGCAAUCCGCCUGGGGAGUACGGUCGCAAGGCUGA